rnacentral:rRNA from 1 species
GGAUUAGAUACCCUGGUAGUCCACGCCGUAAACGAUGUCAACUAGCCGUUGGGAGCAUUUGGCUCUUGGUGGCGCAGCUAACGCGAUAAGUUGACCGCCUGGGGAGUACGGUCGCAAGAUUAAAACUCAAAGGAAUUGACGGGGGCCCGCACAAGCGGUGGAGCAUGUGGUUUAAUUCGAUGCAACGCGAAGAACCUUACCUGCCCUUGACAUCCUGGGAAGGUCCUAGAGAUAGGACUGUGCCUUCGGGAACCCAGUGACAGGUGCUGCAUGGCUGUCGUCAGCUCGUGCCG